UACAAUUAUUACAAAGAUAAAUUUUCGCAGUUAAAUGGAAUAAUUGAAUCAACAAUAAAACCAUUUAUUGUAUUAAAUUUAAAUCAUCUGAUGAAAUUAGAUAACUAACAAAACUUCAAAAUAAAAUAAUUUCAAUUCAGAAUAAAAAAAUAUUAAUUGUACAUAAUUAUAUAUAUAUAUUUUUGUAUUAUAUUUAUUAUUUUGUUAUUAAAUAUAUUUCGAUAUAUUUAUUGAAAAUAAUUUCAUAUUUAAUAUUUAAAUAUAUUUGAAAUCUGUCUUACCGGCCUUGCCUAUACAUCAAGCACAUAUUUACAUCUAUUCAUUUGUCUCGUUAGAUCGAAUAUAGUUCAUCCAUUAUAAAAAUGUUGAUUUCUAAUAUAUUUAAAAAUCAUUGAAAUCAUUGAAGUAAAGAAUUUUCUAUUCUGAAUGGUUAUUGAAAUGAUUAUUUGAUUUAUGAUAUUGAUUUAAUAAACAGUUUGCUUUUGUACCUAUUAUUAUGUUUAUAAAGUUUUUGUUUUUUUAAUUUUUUGAUUUAAAUUAUAAUUAAUUUCAUUGCAUUUUAAUAUGAAAAUUUUAUUUAUUGUUUUUUUUUGUUCUCUGAAUAUUUUAUUAUAAUUAAUUUUUAUUUGUAUUGUAUAAUAAAAGAUAUAAGCAAUAUUUAUUAUAGUUAUAUUAUUUUAAAAUCUAAAAAAAGUAUUCACACAUAUAUAAAAGAUUUAAGAACAUCAAAAUAUUAGAAAAUAUUAAGAAAAUAUGAAAAAAAUUUUGAAAAAGAAAAAAAAGAAUAAUGAAAUUAAAAAAAAAGGAAGCCGAAUGCAAAGAAAAAUGAAUUAAAAGAACUAAAACUACGAAAAAAAAAAUAAUGUAAGAAAAAUCGGUAAAGAAGUUAUUUUUAAUUAAUUAAAUGAGUUAAAAAGGUAAACACAAGAUGGCAGUAAAAUAAUAGAGAAGAAAAAAAAAGGAGAAAUAAGAAAGGAUUUCACAGAACACAUGGAAACAAAUAUGAAGAUCGUUUUAUAUAUAUAAAAAUAAAAGAAAAAUUAGAGAAGAAAAUUCUUAUAUUUAUUUUAUUUUCUUCUUAUGUUUUUUCUUUUUGUAUUCAAUUUUAUUAUUUUUAAGAACAAAAGGAAAUAUACAUAAAAAAAGAGAAAGAAAUAUAGAGGUUAAAUAAGAAAAAGUAUUACAAUAAAAGAAAUAAUAAUUUUUGUAGAAAAUAUAAAAACGCAAGAAAAAACACGAACAAAGAAAAAGUAUGUAAAAGUGAUAACAUUAAAAUAGCAAUUAAGAAAGAAGAAGAAGAAUAGAAAAAAGCAGAAGAAGAAAAACGAAGAAAAGAAAGGAACUAACAAGAAGUUUAAUUUUUUUUAAAUAAUUAAUAAAAAAUAAAGAAAAUAAAAUGAGAAACUUAAAAAUAAAGAUUGUAUAUGUGAAAAAGAAAAAAGAAAAAAAAAGAGAAAGAAUGUAUAGAAGAAAAAGAUUAAUUAUUAGAAUUAAUAUUAAUUUUAAAAUAAAAAUGAUUCUGGAUAAAAGAAAAUAUGAUCUUGGAUAAAAUAAGUUAGAUAAAUAAAAUAGAAAUAGAAUCCAGAAUAACAAAGAAAUGGCUUUGAUUUAUAAUAUUAAUGACUCAGAUGUAUAACUUUGAGAGUUUUAUUCGACAAUCUGAACAAAAUUUUAUGAUUUAAGAAUUUACCGCAAAGAAGGUGUCCAGGGGGAAAUUCUGGAUAUCUCGGUCACUUUAGAUGGAGAUGGACUUUUAUCGAGUUUUUAUCGACUAAAAUUCUCACACAGCCUUCCUCUGAUGCUUCUAAUACCGGUAACUCUAAUAAACACACAUCCUGCCACUUUUUUUUCUCUUUUUUUCUCUUUUUUUCUCUAAAAAUUUUUUAAUUAUAUGCACUCGUUUGGCGACAUCGAAAUCACACAUAUUUUCUUUUUUUAUGUUGCGCCAUAUAGACUCUUUCUAUACGAUACUAAUAAGAUCAAAACUUGCGUCGUAGAAAGCGUGUUUUAACUAUGGUUCAUCCAUUUGUUCAAAACAGAAAGAACACUCUUAACUACUGUCGAUAAUUGGCGAAGUUUUAGGGUUCUUGUCUUUAUCUUGUCUGCUCUAUCACAAUACCUUACUUUUAAUCAUAUCUGCUGGCAGAUUGUUGUUUCUAAAAGAAGAUACUCAUAUAGAUGGAAUAACAGAGUUGUCAACAUCGUUACCGCCACGUGAAAAUGAUAUAGAAUCGCCUCACAACUCUGAUGGCACUUAAUUUCCAUAUAAUUAUGAAGAUUGGUCAUCAAAAAUAUGCUCUCUACAAUGCUAUACUCUGCUUGACUUUUAAAUAAUCCAAUGUGCGUAUUCUAAUAACUUUGCUGUAUAUAUCAUGGCAAAAGAAUCAUUUCAGUCUCCAAACCAGCUAAGAUUAUUGAGAAUAUUUUGUCGUAAAAUAGAUCGUAUUUGAUAGAUCGUAUUUGAUUGAAGGCUAGAACACAGAUAAUUUGUCUUUAUCGUGUUCUAUUUGAGUUUAUUCUUUCUUGUCUGUUCUGUUUUUAGAUGAAAUUGAAAAUUGUCUCAUUUUCGUUUCUCUUAACCUUUUGUGCUCCAAACUUUUUUCACUCGGUCGAAUCAAUAACUCCAAAUGAUUUCCCGCACGUUCGAUGAAUUUCUUAUAGUUAAUUUAAAAUAAUUUCACACACAAUUAUAUUUUAAUAUUUUAUGUAUCUUUACACACGAAAAAAGAAAAUUUGUUGAAUAUUAAAGUCUAUGUUGUUGUUUUACGUGAUAUUUUAUAAAGCAAUUAUCAAGAUACAUCCUCGGCUUGUUAUCACAAUAAAAAUGUCUGAUGUUUUUCACUUUUCUCAUUUCGUUGGAAUCAAACAUUACAAUCCUUCUUUAUUUCUGUUAAUACAACGUGCAAUUUUCCAUUCAAACGAAUUUUAUCGAAAUUGAAGAAAAAAAUGUAUUAUGUAUGGAAUGAAAUUUAUACUUCAUAGUAAUUAUUAUAUAAAAGAACUUUAGAAAAAGGUUAAAAAUUAAACGCAUAGGAUCCAUGCAUUACAUAUACACACACAUCUUGCACACGUGAUCACUAAGUAUUCCUUCGGUCCUGACAGAUGGCAAUACCCGCGAGUUGAGCGUAACAUAUACAACAAAGUGGAAGUUCGAUUCUGGCGAAAAUCAAUUUUCUGGUCAAUUAAAGUUUUUAUAUAUCGUAAAUGAAUAAGCGGCUAUUCGUUUCCCU